GACGAACGCUGGCGGCGUGCCUAAUACAUGCAAGUAGAACGCUGAAGGAGGAGCUUGCUUCUCUGGAUGAGUUGCGAACGGGUGAGUAACGCGUAGGUAACCUGCCUGGUAGCGGGGGAUAACUAUUGGAAACGAUAGCUAAUACCGCAUAAGAGUAGAUGUUGCAUGACAUUUGCUUAAAAGGUGCAAUUGCAUCACUACCAGAUGGACCUGCGUUGUAUUAGCUAGUUGGUGGGGUAACGGCUUACCAAGGCGACGAUACAUAGCCGACCUGAGAGGGUGAUCGGCCACACUGGGACGGAGACACGGCCCAGACUCCUACGGGAGGCAGCAGUAGGGAAUCUUCGGCAAUGGACGGAAGUCUGACCGAGCAACGCCGCGUGAGUGAAGAAGGUUUUCGGAUCGUAAAGCUCUGUUGUAAGAGAAGAACGAGUGUGAGAGUGGAAAGUUCACACUGUGACGGUAUCUUACCAGAAAGGGACGGCUAACUACGUG
rnacentral:rRNA from 1 species